GGAACAUUCCACGAGAUCUGGCUGACUGGAAAUGUCACAUGUAUCCCAAUGAUCAUGAUUUGAGGAUGAGAUGACAAUUCCAAUUAUCCAUAACUAAAGCCCCUGCAUUAGAAAAAAGAUCAACACUCCUUUGUGAUGCUUGCAAAUGCAAUGUAUUGGUAUUUACAAUUCAACAUGUAUGCUAGCCUAAAGGAAAGUUAUUGAAUGACCGUGAGGACUAAUCAUCUGAAGAAAAUGAUUGGCAUGGAAAAGACUGUGGCAACCUUUAUGUUGUUCUUCUGUGUUUUCAUGUUUUUGAUUGCUCAAUUAAGCAGACUGACUGAGAUGUUUGAAAGUGAGAGCUAGUACCUACAUUUAAGUGUUUAAAUUACAAAGAAUGUUCUCUGACAAACUGGAAAAUUGAUCAUGGAAGUCAGCUGCAAAAAAGUCUUGAAAACCAUAACAAGCAUGACAUUGUGCAUAUAUUUCUAGCUUUAUGAAGGACCAGAACAAUGAAUUAACAUGGGUUUAUUCUACAGUAUAUGGAUUUUUAAAUUUUUUUUUUUUUAGCCAGCAAACCUUUGCUUUUUUCUUAAUGAUAGUAAGUCUUAUCAAAUU